rnacentral:rRNA from 1 species
AUUCCAGCUCUAAUAGCGUAUAUUAAAGUUGUUGCAGUUAAAAAGCUCGUAGUCGGAUGUCGGGCUCGGGCAGGCUGUCGGCUUCGGUCGGACGGCAGGCUCGGGUCUUUCUGCCUGAGGAUCCCGUUGCACUUAAUUGUGGGGCGUGGGGACGCAGGCCGUUUACUUUGAAAAAAUUAGAGUGUUCAAAGCAGGCCUACGCUUGAAUACAUUAGCAUGGAAUAAUGGAAUAGGACUUUGGUGCUAUUUUGUUGGUUUCUAGAGCUGAGGUAAUGAUUAAUAGGGAUAGUUGGGGGCAUUCGUAUUUAACUGUCGGAGGUGAAAUUCUUGGAUUUGUUAAAGACGGACUACUGCGAAAGCAUUUGCCAAGGAUGUUUUCAUCA